CUCAUCCCCUUAUCUCAUCCCCUUAUCUCGUCCCCUUAUCUCAUCCCCUUAUCUCAUCCCCUUAUCUCAUCCCCUUAUCUCAUCCCCUUAUCUCAUCCCCUUAUCUCAUUAUCAGCUGAUUAUCAGCUGUUGUCAAACACAUAUGAGUCUGGAUAGACCGUUCCCUUCCUCGUUCAGCAUUACUAGGUUGUUGCUUCCUCGUUCAGCAUUACUAGGUUGUUGCUUCCUCGUUCAGCAUUACUAGGUUGUUGCUGGGUCGGUCAGUGUUACUAGGUUGUUGCUGGGUCGGUCAGUGUUACUAGGUGGUUGCUGGGUCGGUCAGUGUUACUAGGUGGUUGCUGGGUCGGUCAGUGUUACUAGGUUGUUGCUGGGUCGGUCAGUGUUACUAGGUGGUUGCUGGGUCGGUCAGUGUUACUAGGUUGUUGCUGGGUCGGUCAGUGUUACUAGGUGGUUGCUGGGUCGGUCAGUGUUACUAGGUGGUUGCUGUGUCAGCAGGCUGAAUGAACACGGUCAGGAGCUGGGUGUUAAAGAGACAAGUCAGAUAUAGGCUGGUGUGAACC
ensembl:lncRNA